CGGGAAUAAAUUAUGAUAAACCGUGACGUUGUUUGUUAAAAUCUUCAACCCUUUAUCAGCAGUUCGUCUCAUCGAAUCGCGGUACACAAUCAGUAGCAUGUGUCAAGGAGUAAAUCAUUGUUAACAUGAAGCACUUAAAGCAGGACAUGUGUAGAGUCGACAUGUAGCACAAUAAGCAAGACAUGUGUAGUGUCGAUUAAUGGAUUAAGCACCCAAGAGGGGCAGUGUGGGGGGGGGAUGAGCUGAACAACAUUUCAAUGCCAUAAAUUGACAAGUAAAUUAUUGUGAAGGAAAAUGUCAGAUUACAAGGACAUCAUUCGUAAGCCGGAAACCCUCAACUGGUUUAAGGCGGCUUUGGGUAUGAAAAUCACACGUGACUGCCUGCUUGAUAUUGUCAAGGUGGUAAUUAAGGAAUGUUAUGACAACAUCCGUAUAGAGAUCGAGAAACAGCGAGAUGGUGUUUUAAGGAGCAUUGUCUGUAAUACUUGUUCAACUGCAAAUGUCCUGCACUGUAACCCCGAAAAUAAAUGCUGCAAUCACGGAAAAUGUGUUUUUCACAAAACUGACAAGACAAAAAAGUGCCCGUAUAAUUUAUGCCAUAAAAUUUGCGAACAAAUUGUAAAACAACACAGAUUUUGCAAUCAUAACCGGUUGGAAAGCUGUAAAGGUCCAACGUGGAUAAACACGGAUGCCACUUUAUGGUGCUAUGAUCCUUGGCAGAUUGCGAAGUGUUAUCUGUCAAAAGAUGGGUACACGGACAAAAACAGCGCUGAAGAGACCGACUUCGCUGGAAUCAUAAAUGUCAUUAUCAACUGUGAAUACUUUCAAAAGUAUUUCAAAGACGAUCUGACGCCUUUCAAUUAAGAUUGGACGCCUAAGGAAAAUGUGGCCACUAAGGCUAGAGAUGUAAGGAAUGAAGUAUGCCAUUCUCCCGACAUUUCCAUGACAGGCCACGCCAUCGACACUCUAGUAGCGUUGUUGCAGAGCCUAAAACAUGUCGAUCACCAGGCCACAUUGAAGACGACAGUUGACAAGUUAACACAGGAUCAGCUGGGGAUAUAACACAAUGGCCGAGUUAUCCUGACCAUUCUGUGAACAGCAGAACAUAACCAAUUGUGAUCUGCAGAAUGAGAAAAUUAGCAAAUUUAAACAUGAUUUUGCACUACCAAAUGGACUUGGACUACAUUGAAUGUUAAGUUUUUUAUAUUAUUGACAUAUUGUGUGAUUUUGUUGUAUUUUGUGAUGUCUAUUUGAGAAAAAAAGUCGAAAAUAAAAAUAUAUUUUGUGUGAUA